rnacentral:rRNA from 1 species
GAUCUCAAAUCAAGUAAGACUACCCGCUGAACUUAAGCAUAUCAAUAAGCGGAGGAAAAGAAACUAACAAGGAUUCCCCUAGUAACGGCGAGUGAAGCGGGAUGAGCUCAAAUUUAAAAUCUGGCUGGUUUACUAGUCCGAAUUGUAGUUUAAAGAAGCGUUUUCGGUGGCAGUCUCGGUAUAAAUCCUUUGGAAUAGGGUAUCAUAGAGGGUGAGAAUCCCGUCUUUGACUGAGAAUUUGCUACUAUGUGAUACGUUUUCAAAGAGUCGAGUUGUUUGGGAAUGCAGCUCAAAAUGGGUGGUAAAUUUCAUCUAAAGCUAAAUAUUGGCGAGAGACCGAUAGUGAACAAGUACCGUGAGGGAAAGAUGAAAAGAACUUUGAAAAGAGAGUUAAACAGUGCGUGAAAUUGUUGAAAGGGAAACGC